rnacentral:rRNA from 1 species
CCUACGGGAGGCUGCAGUGAGGAAUAUUGGUCAAUGGGCGGAAGCCUGAACCAGCCAAGUAGCGUGCAGGAUGACGGCCCUACGGGUUGUAAACUGCUUUUAUACGGGAAUAACGCGCCUUACGUGUAGGGCUUUGCAUGUACCGUAUGAAUAAGGACCGGCUAAUUCCGUGCCAGCAGCCGCGGUAAUACGGAAGGUCCGGGCGUUAUCCGGAUGUAUUGGGGUUAAAGGGAGCGUAGGCCGCAGGUCCAGCGUGCUGGGAAAAGUGCGGGCCCAACCCGGGCCGUGCAGCGCGAACUGGCGGGCUUGAGUGCGCGGAAAGCAGGCGGAAUGCGUGGUGUAGCGGUGAAAUGCGUAGAUAUGACGAAGAACCCCGAUUGCGAAGGCAGCUUGGUGGAGCGGAACUGACGCUGAUGCGCGAAAGCGCGGGUAUCGAACAGGAUUAGAGACCCUAGUAGUG